UACGUAGGGUGCAAGCGUUAAUCGGAAUUACUGGGCGUAAAGCGUGCGCAGGCGGCUUUGCAAGACAGAUGUGAAAUCCCCGGGCUCAACCUGGGAACUGCAUUUGUGACUGCAUGGCUGGAGUGCGGCAGAGGGGGAUGGAAUUCCGCGUGUAGCAGUGAAAUGCGUGGAUAUGCGGAGGAACACCGAUGGCGAAGGCAAUCCCCUGGGCCUGCACUGACGCUCAUGCACGAAAGCGUGGGGAGCAAACAGG
rnacentral:rRNA from 1 species